rnacentral:rRNA from 1 species
UAGUCCACGCCGUAAACGAUGGUUACUAGAUGUUUGGUGGAUUAACCCGCUGAGUAUCAAAGCACACGCAUUAAGUAACCCGCCUGGGGAGUACGGUCGCAAGGCUAAAACUCAAAGGAAUUGACGGGGGCCCGCACAAGCGGUGGAGUAUGUGGUUUAAUUCGAAGCAACGCGAAGAACCUUACCUGGCCUUGACAUCCCGUGACAACCUCAGAGAUGAGGCUUUCUCUUCGGAGACGCGGAGACAGGUGCUGCAUGGCUGUCGUCAGCUCGUGUUGUGAAAUGUUCGGUUAAGUCCGGCAACGAGCGCAACCCCUAUCCUUAGUUACCAUCAUUAAGUUGGGGACUCUAGGGAGACUGCCGGUGUUAAGCCGGAGGAAGGCGGGGAUGACGUCAAGUCCGCAUGGCCCUUACGGCCAGGGCUACACACGUACUACAAUGGCAGAGACAAGCUGUUGCGAAACCGUAAGGUCAAGCUAAAUCAGUAAAACACUGUCCCAGUCCGGAUUGAGGUCUGCAAUUCGACCU